GGGGAAUAUUGCACAAUGGGGGAAACCCUGAUGCAGCGACGCCGCGUGGAGGAAGAAGGUCUUCGGAUUGUAAACUCCUGUUGUUGGGGAAGAUAAUGACGGUACCCAACAAGGAAGUGACGGCUAACUACGUGCCAGCAGCCGCGGUAAAACGUAGGUCACAAGCGUUGUCCGGAAUUACUGGGUGUAAAGGGAGCGCAGGCGGGAUGCCAAGUCAGCUGUGAAAACUAUGGGCUUAACUUGUAGACUGCAGUUGAAACUGGUAUUCUUGAGUGAAGUAGAGGUUGGCGGAAUUCCGAGUGUAGCGGUGAAAUGCGUAGAUAUUCGGAGGAACACCGGUGGCGAAGGCGGCCAACUGGGCUUUAACUGACGCUGAGGCUCGAAAGUGUGGGGAGCAAACAGGAUUAGAUACCCUGGUAGUCCAUGCCGUAAACGAUGAUUACUAGGUGUGGGGGGACUGACCCCUUCCGUGCCGCAGCAAACGCAAUAAGUAAUCCACCUGGGGAGUACGACCGCAAGGUUGAAACUCAAAGGAAUUGACGGGGGCCCGCACAAGCAGUGGAGUAUGUGGAUUAAUUCGAAGCAACGCGAAGAACCUUACCAGGUCUUGACAUCGUAUGCAUAGCUCAGAGAUGAGUGAAAUCUCUUCGGAGACAUAUAGACAGGUGGUGCAUGGUUGUCGUCAGCUCGUGUCGUGAGAUGUUGGGUUAAGUCCCGCAACGAGCGCAACCCCUGCCAUUAGUUGCUACGCAAGAGCACUCUAAUGGGACCGCUACCGACAAGGUGGAGGAAGGUGGGGACGACGUCAAAUCAUCAUGCCCCUUAUGACCUGGGCUACACACGUAAUACAAUGGCCGUUAACAACGAGGAGCAAACCCGCGAGGGGGAGCAAAACUUCAAAAACGGUCUCAGUUCGGAUUGCAGGCUGCAACUCGCCUGCAUGAAGUUGGAAUUGCUAGUAAUCGUGGAUCAGCAUGCCACGGUGAAUACGUUCCCG
rnacentral:rRNA from 1 species